UUUCCUACGGGGGGCUGCAGUCGAGAAUCUUCGGCAAUGGGCGCAAGCCUGACCGAGCGACGCCGCGUGUGGGAUGAAGGCCCUUGGGUUGUAAACCACUGUCAGAGGGGAUGAAAUGCCAGCCAGUAAUCUGGUUGGUUUGACAUAGCCUCAGAGGAAGCACGGGCUAAGUUCGUGCCAGCAGCCGCGGUAAUACGAACUGUGCGAACGUUAUUCGGAAUCACUGGGCUUACAGGGUGCGUAGGCGGCUUGCUAAGUAGGGUGUGAAAGCCCCCGGCUUAACCGGGGAAUGGCGCCCUAAACUGGCGAGCUGGAGUGAGAUAGGGGUGUGCGGAACUUCCGGUGGAGCGGUGAAAUGUGUUGAUAUCGGAAGGAACGCCGGUGGCGAAAGCGGCACACUGGAUCUCAACUGACGCUGAGGCACGAAAGCCAGGGGAGCGAACGGGAUUAGAUACCCCGGUAGUC
rnacentral:rRNA from 1 species